rnacentral:rRNA from 1 species
UACGUAGGGGGCAAGCGUUGUCCGGAUUUAUUGGGCGUACAGAGCGUGUAGGCGGCCAUACAGGUCCGUUGUGAAAACUGGAGGCUUAACCUCCAGACGUCGAUGGAAACCGUAUGGCUAGAGUCCGGAAGAGGAGAGUGGAAUUCCUGGUGUAGCGGUGAAAUGCGCAGAUAUCAGGAAGAACACCCGUGGCGAAGGCGGCUCUCUGGGACGGUACUGACGCUGAGACGCGAAAGCGUGGGGAGCGAACAGG